rnacentral:lncRNA from 1 species
CAAAUGUGCCAAACAGUUUGUUCAAAAGGAAUUAUAAUGAAUAGUACCACUUUCUGUGUUCUUAUGCAGAGCCAAAAAGUGCAGAUAAGGAACAGGUGAAAAAGUAGCUCUUAAGUCUGCGAGAUGGGCUACUGCUGCUUCUCUCUGACCGCACGGGGAUUCCACAGGACCUGAGGAGCCCAGGAGCUGUACUUCAUUUCCUCUUGAACAAUGCUGACUAGAAAGCUGCACCUGUCAGCAAAAAGGGAAUGCCAGACUCAAGAGCUGUCACUGGGAGGAAAAAGAUGAUUAGAUGGAUUCAUUGACCACUCAAAAUGAAGAGGCUAUGCAUACUCCACAGUUCACUUCUGGCCCAUUCCUUGGACUGCGUAAGUUUUCUCCAGUGCAAGAUCUUUUCCUCCAAGAAGGAUCAUUCUCUGCUGAAGUGGCCUUCCACUAUGGAUGACUGUACAUGAAACAAAACUGUCUGACUGAUUGUCACAUCAUAUUCCUCCUGCAAAAUUAAUUCCAGAGCUCAGAUAAUUUCUUCCAGAAUCUUAGGAGAAGAGCAUUAGAUUUCAAGACUUCAUUAAACAAGUUUUCUGAAAACAAGAGUAAAAUUUGCAUUUUAAAAUAUGUGAAGAGUCUCAAACACAAAACUGACAGCUAGCACUAAAAUAAUGAGUCACAGUGAAGAUUUGAAAAUUUAAGAAAUGAAUUGAUCCAUCUUCAUGAGAAUGUAGUCAAGAGAAGAUUUAGGAAUUGUGAAUUUUUCCUGGAGUCAAACUGACUGUUGGAAAGAAUGAGACAGAAGCUUGAUUUUUUGGUACUAAUGUUGCUGUUAACAAGAAGGAUCUUCAAUAUUCACCUGUAUUUUUCUCUCCGUGAAGACUGAAUGCUUGAUCCAGAUCAUGCUGGUAUUAGCUGAGAUAUUUUUCAGUUGAGUUCUGGGUUAGAUCACUAAGUUAGCAUAAAACUUUAUAAUGGAUCCAGACAAAAACUUAACUGAGCUAAACAUCUUUCAUUCAAUUACAGACUAUUUUUUAUAAAUGCUAUUUAUGUAAUUUAUCAUACAUGUACAUAUAGAAAUAUAUAUAAAGGAAACUCUUUAAUCCAUUCUUUGUAAGCUCUUCUGAGCUGCCUUCUGGCUCUCUAAGAAACUUACUAAAUUAGGAGGAGUAAAGCAAGACAAAGGCUGUAAAUCAUUGGUAAAUCAAUUUGUUAGUUUUAGAGUAUUACUGUGUCAAACAUUAAGCUGGUUUAAGUCUGGCACAUUAGUUUAUUCCUCUGAAUGGUAAAAGUGGUUAGCAAGUUAACCUAGACAUUAUUAGAUUUUUUUUUUUC